rnacentral:rRNA from 1 species
GAUGAACGCUUGCGGCGUGCCUAAUACAUGCAAUUCGAGCGAACAGACCAGGCGCUUGCUCCUCUCACGUUAGCCGCGGACGGGUGAGUAACACGUGGAUACCCUCCCUAUAAUACUGGGAUAACUUCGGGAAACCGGAUCUAAUACCGGAUAAUAUAUUUCACCCCAUUGUUCAAUAGUAAAAUACGGCUUUUCUGUCUGUUAUAGAUUGAUCCGAGCCGCAUUAGAUAGUUGGUAAGGUAACGGCUUACCAAGGCAACGAUGCGUAGCCGACCUGAGAGGGGGAUAGGCCACACUGGAACGGAGACACGGUCCAGACUCCUACGGGAGGCAGCAGUAGGGAAUCUUCCGCAAUGGGCGAAAGCAUGACGGAGCAACGGCGCGUGAGUGAUGAAGGUCUUCGGAUCGUAAAACUCUGUUAUUAGGGAAGAACAAAUGUGUAAGUAACUAUGCACGUCUUGACGGUACCUAAUCAGAAAGCAACGGCUAACUACGUG